rnacentral:rRNA from 1 species
UACGUAGGGUGCGAGCGUUACUCGGAAUUACUGGGCGUAAAGCGUGCGCAGGCGGUUCGUUAAGUUCGUUGUGAAAGCCCCGGGCUCAACCUGGGAACUGCAAUGGAAACUGGCGGGCUUGAGUGCGGCAGAGGGGGGUGGAAUUCCGCGUGUAGCAGUGAAAUGCGUAGAGAUGCGGAGGAACACCGAUGGCGAAGGCAGCCCCCUGGGCCGACACUGACGCUCAGGCACGAAAGCGUGGGGAGCAAACAGG